GUCUACAGCCAUGCCACCCUGAACAUGCCCAAUCCCAUCUGAUCUUGGAAACUAAGCAGGGUUGGUCCUGGUUAGUAUUUGGAUAGAAGACUACCAAGGAAGACCAUGUGCUGUAGGCA
rnacentral:rRNA from 1 species